GGGCCUCUAGCUCAAUUGGCAGAGCAUCGGACUUUUAAUCCGAGGGUUGUGGGUUCGAUCCCCACGGGGCCCA
rnacentral:tRNA from 1 species